UACGUAGGGACCAAGCGUUGCUCGGAAUCACUGGGCGUAAAGCGCACGUAGGCGGAUCUUUGAGUCAGGGGUGAAAUCCCGGAGCUCAACUCCGGAACUGCCUUUGAUACUGGGGGUCCCGAGUCCGGGAGAGGUGAGUGGAACUGCGAGUGUAGAGGUGAAAUUCGUAGAUAUUCGCAAGAACACCAGUGGCGAAGGCGGCUCACUGGCCCGGUACUGACGCUGAGGUGCGAAAGCGUGGGGAGCAAACAGG
rnacentral:rRNA from 1 species